rnacentral:rRNA from 1 species
AGAGUUUGAUUCUGGCUCAGGAUGAACGCUAGCUACAGGCUUAACACAUGCAAGUCGAGGGGCAUCAGGGAGAAAGCUUGCUUCUUGCUGGCGACCGGCGCACGGGUGAGUAACGCGUAUCCAACCUUCCCCCCAGUAGGGCAUAGCCGGCGAAAGUCGGAUUAAUACCCUAUGUUGUGUCAUGAGGACAUCUGAAUAACACCAAAGAUUUAUCGCUGGGGGAUGGGGAUGCGUCCGAUUAGGUUGUUGGCGGGGUAACGGCCCACCAAGCCCGCGAUCGGUAGGGGUUCUGAGAGGAAGGUCCCCCACACUGGUACUGAGACACGGACCAGACUCCUACGGGAGGCAGCAGUGAGGAAUAUUGGUCAAUGGGCGAGAGCCUGAACCAGCCAAGUAGCGUGCAAGGAUGACGGCCCUAUGGGUUGUAAACUGCUUUUAUGCGGGGAUAAAGUGAGGGACGUGUCCCUUAUUGUAGGUACCGCAUGAAUAAGGACCGGCUAAUUCCGUGCCAGCAGCAGC